rnacentral:rRNA from 1 species
AGUAUGAACUGCUUCAUACUGCGAAACUGCGAAUGGCUCAUUAAAUCAGUUAUAGUUUAUUUGAUGGUACCUUACUACUCGGAUAACCAUAGUAAUUCUAGAGCUAAUACGUGCGGAAAUCCCGACUUCUGGAAGGGACGUAUUUAUUAGAUAAAAGGCCGACCGGGCUUGCCCGACUCGCGGUGACUCAUGAUAACCCCACGAAUCGCACAGCCCUGGCGCUGGCGAUGUUUCAUUCAAAUUUCUGCCCUAUCAACUUUCGACGGUAAGGUAUUGGCUUACCGUGGUGGUAACGGGUGACGGAGGAUUAGGGUUCGAUUCCGGAGAGGGAGCCUGAGAAACGGCUACCACACCCAGGGAAGGCAGCAGGCGCGCAAAUUACCCAAUCUCGACACGAGGAGGUAGUGACAAUAAAUAACAAUACCGGGGUUUUUCAACUCUGGUAAUUGGAAUGAGUACAAUCUAAACCCCUUAACGAGGAUCAAUUGGAGGGCAAGUCUGGUGCCAGCAGCCGCGGUAAUUCCAGCUCCAAUAGCGCAUAUUUAAGUUGUUGCAGUUAAGAAGCUCGUAGUUGGAUUUCGGGCGGGCCCGGCCGGUCCGCCUCACGGUGUGCACUGACCGGGCCCGUCCUGCUGCCGGGGACGGGCUCCUGGGCUUCACUGUCCGGGACUCGGAGUCGGCGAGGUUACUUUGAGUAAAUUAGAGUGUUCAAAGCAGGCAUCCGCCUUGAAUACGUUAGCAUGGAAUAACACGAUAGGACUCUGGCCUAUCUUGUUGGUCUGUGGGACCGGAGUAAUGAUUAAGAGGGACAGUCGGGGGCAUU